UACAGAGGUCCCAAGCGUUGUUCGGAUUCACUGGGCGUAAAGGGCUCGUAGGCGGUCCGUCGCGUCGGGAGUGAAAACUCGGAGCUUAACUCCGAGCCUGCUUCCGAUACGGGCAGACUAGAGGUAGGCAGGGGAGAGCGGAACUCCUGGUGUAGCGGUGGAAUGCGCAGAUAUCAGGAAGAACACCAACGGCGAAGGCAGCUCGCUGGGACGGUACUGACGCUGAGGUGCGAAAGCGUGGGGGAGCAAACAGG
rnacentral:rRNA from 1 species